UACGUAGGGGGCAAGCGUUGUCCGGAUUCAUUGGGCGUAAAGAGCGUGUAGGCGGCCAGGUAGGUCGGUUGUGAAAACUGGAGGCUCAACCUUCAGAGGUCGACCGAAACCAUCUGGCUAGAGUCCGGGAGAGGAGACUGGAAUUCCUGGUGUAGCGGUGAAAUGCGCAGAUAUCAGGAGGAACACCGGUGGCGAAGGCGGGUCUCUGGGCCGUAACUGACGCUGAGGAGCGAAAGCAUGGGGAGCGAACAGG
rnacentral:rRNA from 1 species